rnacentral:rRNA from 1 species
CGUGUAGGCGGUGCGGUAAGUUGGGCGUGAAAUCCCCGAGCUUAACUCGGGUGGGCCGUUCAAGACUGCCGUGCUAGGGUGCGGGAGAGGGAAGUGGAAUUUCCGGUGUAGCGGUGAAAUGCGUAGAUAUCGGGAGGAACACCUGCGGCGAAGGCGGCUUCCUGGACCGUAACCGACGCUGAGGCGCGAAAGCUAGGGGAGCAAACAGGAUUAGAUACCCUGGUAGUCCUAGCCCUAAACGAUGAGCACUGGGCGUGGUCCCUCACGGGGCCGUGCCGAAGCUAACGCAUUAAGUGCUCCGCCUGGGGAGUACGGUCGCAAGGCUGAA